UGGGGAAUAUUGGGCAAUGGGCGCAAGCCUGACCCAGCAACGCCGCGUGAAGGAAGAAGGCUUUCGGGUUGUAAACUUCUUUUGUCGGGGACGAAACAAAUGACGGUACCCGACGAAUAAGCCACGGCUAACUACGUGCCAGCAGCCGCGGUAAUACGUAGGUGGCAAGCGUUAUCCGGAUUUACUGGGUGUAAAGGGCGUGUAGGCGGGAUUGCAAGUCAGAUGUGAAAACUGGGGGCUCAACCUCCAGCCUGCAUUUGAAACUGUAGUUCUUGAGUGCUGGAGAGGCAAUCGGAAUUCCGUGUGUAGCGGUGAAAUGCGUAGAUAUACGGAGGAACACCAGUGGCGAAGGCGGAUUGCUGGACAGUAACUGACGCUGAGGCGCGAAAGCGUGGGGAGCAAACA
rnacentral:rRNA from 1 species